GAUGUAAAGGAAAGAAUGUUAGAGUUCAAGCAUAAGAAAAUACCCAUGGUCCUUCUGCUUCUCUUCAAUCUAAUGAGCUGGUUGAUAAGAAAUGCAAGAGUGAUAUUGAAGAGAGAUCAGGUGUAAUCUGAGAGCUCAUGAUUAGAGCCGUCAGUUCAAGUGAAGAGGAAGAAAGCACCAUUUCAGAAGGCAAUAAUGUGAAAAGCUGGAUGCUACUGGGAUGUGAAGUAGAUGAUAGAGAUGAUGAUAUCCUUCUCAACGUUGCGGGAUGUGAAAACUCUGUUAUUGAAGAAGAUGAUAUAAACUGGUUCAUCAGUGACAAAGACAUUGAGGCCGAGAUAGCUAAUAACAAAUCACCUGGAAGACACACCCAGAGAUAUUAUUCAGGCAACAAAAACAUUAUCUGUAGAAAUUGUGACAAAUGUGGCCAUUUAACAAAAAACUGCCCCUUACCAGGAAAAGUUCGUCGCUGCUUCCUGUGCUCCGGGAGAGGACAUCUCCUGUGUUCCUGGCCAGCCCCCCUUUGCGAAUACUGUCCUGUGCCUAAGAUGUUGGACCACUCAUGUCUUUUCAGACAUUCCUGGGAUAAACAGUGUGACUGAUGUCAUAUGCUAGGUCACUAUACAGAUACUUGCACAGAAAUCUGGGGGCAGUAUCACCUAACGACCAAACCUGGACCAUCCAAAAAGCCAAAGACCCCUUCAAGACCAUCAGCCUUAGCAUAUUACUGUCACUGCAUGCAAAAGGCAAUUCUGGGCACAAGUGUCCAGAAUGAGAAGUGUAUGACCCGUCUCCAAUAUCUCCAUUCAUCUGCUACUACGAUGACAAAUAUGAAAUUCAGGAGAGAGAAAAGAGACUAAAACAAAAAAUAAAAGUACUGAAGAAAAAUGGAGAUAUCCCAGAGCCAUCUAAGCUACCUUAGAUAAAAACAGCAAAUGAGAACUCCCAUCAUUAUAUAAGGAAGGGCCAUGCCUUGUGGAAAAGCAACAGGUGGCCUCAAUAAAAUAAGGAAACACAAAAAGAAAUGAAGAACAAGAACAGAAACUGGGAGAAGCACAGGAAGGCUGACAGACAUGUGAAGUGGGUGAGGAUUUUCCUAGGGGCCCCAAAACCUACUCUUCUCCUGGCAGUUUUAAAACCCAGAAGCCUUCCAAGCCCUUUCACCAUUCAUCACAUUACUUCACAUCAAGAGGAGACAAGUCUCCCAAGGAGGUUAAGAGGGGCAAGAGAAGAAAAAGGAGAGGUGCUUGGAAGAUGAUGACAAUGAUAACUUAUUUCUUAUUAAGC